rnacentral:rRNA from 2 species
UGCAAGUCGAACGAACUCUGGUAUUGAUUGGUGCUUGCAUCAUGAUUUACAUUUGAGUGAGUGGCGAACUGGUGAGUAACACGUGGGAAACCUGCCCAGAAGCGGGGGAUAACACCUGGAAACAGAUGCUAAUACCGCAUAACAACUUGGACCGCAUGGUCCGAGUUUGAAAGAUGGCUUCGGCUAUCACUUUUGGAUGGUCCCGCGGCGUAUUAGCUAGAUGGUGGGGUAACGGCUCACCAUGGCAAUGAUACGUAGCCGACCUGAGAGGGUAAUCGGCCACAUUGGGACUGAGACACGGCCCAAACUCCUACGGGAGGCAGCAGUAGGGAAUCUUCCACAAUGGACGAAAGUCUGAUGGAGCAACGCCGCGUGAGUGAAGAAGGGUUUCGGCUCGUAAAACUCUGUUGUUAAAGAAGAACAUAUCUGAGAGUAACUGUUCAGGUAUUGACGGUAUUUAACCAGAAAGCCACGGCUAACUACGUGCCAGCAGCCGCGGUAAUACGUAGGUGGCAAGCGUUGUCCGGAUUUAUUGGGCGUAAAGCGAGCGCAGGCGGUUUUUUAAGUCUGAUGUGAAAGCCUUCGGCUCAACCGAAGAAGUGCAUCGGAAACUGGGAAACUUGAGUGCAGAAGAGGACAGUGGAACUCCAUGUGUAGCGGUGAAAUGCGUAGAUAUAUGGAAGAACACCAGUGGCGAAGGCGGCUGUCUGGUCUGUAACUGACGCUGAGGCUCGAAAGUAUGGGUAGCAAACAGGAUUAGAUACCCUGGUAGUCCAUACCGUAAACGAUGAAUGCUAAGUGUUGGAGGGUUUCCGCCCUUCAGUGCUGCAGCUAACGCAUUAAGCAUUCCGCCUGGGGAGUACGGCCGCAAGGCUGAAACUCAAAGGAAUUGACGGGGGCCCGCACAAGCGGUGGAGCAUGUGGUUUAAUUCGAAGCUACGCGAAGAACCUUACCAGGUCUUGACAUACUAUGCAAAUCUAAGAGAUUAGACGUUCCCUUCGGGGACAUGGAUACAGGUGGUGCAUGGUUGUCGUCAGCUCGUGUCGUGAGAUGUUGGGUUAAGUCCCGCAACGAGCGCAACCCUUAUUAUCAGUUGCCAGCAUUAAGUUGGGCACUCUGGUGAGACUGCCGGUGACAAACCGGAGGAAGGUGGGGAUGACGUCAAAUCAUCAUGCCCCUUAUGACCUGGGCUACACACGUGCUACAAUGGAUGGUACAACGAGUUGCGAACUCGCGAGAGUAAGCUAAUCUCUUAAAGCCAUUCUCAGUUCGGAUUGUAGGCUGCAACUCGCCUACAUGAAGUCGGAAUCGCUAGUAAUCGCGGAUCAGCAUGCCGCGGUGAAUACGUUCCCGGGCCUUGUACACACCGCCCGUCACACCAUGAGAGUUUGUAACACCCAAAGUCGGUGGGGUAACCUUUUAGGAACCAGCCGCCUAAGGUGGGACAGAUGAU